UCCGAAGGGUGCAAGCGUUAUUCGGAAUCACUGGGCGUAAAGGGUGUGUAGACGGUACAUUAAGUUCGUCGUUAAAGGCUCCGGCCUAACCGGAGUAUUGCGAUGAAAACUGGUGAGCUAGAGGGUGAGAGAGAGAAGUGGAAUUCCCGGAGUAGCGGUAAAAUGCGUGGAUCUCGGGAGGAACACCAAUGGCGAAGGCAGCUUCUUGGCGCAUUCCUGACGUUGAGGCACGAAAGCGUGGGGAGCAAACAGG
rnacentral:rRNA from 1 species